rnacentral:tRNA from 1 species
GGGCCCAUAGCUCAGUGGUAGAGCAGGUGACUCAUAAUCACUUGGUCGGAGGUUCGAAUCCUUCUGGGCCCA